rnacentral:rRNA from 1 species
AUGCAAGUCGAACGGUAACAGGGAGAAGCUUGCUUUUCCGCUGACGACCGGCGCACGGGUGCGUAACGCGUAUACAAUCUGCCUUAUACUGGGGUAUAGCCUUUAGAAAUGAAGAUUAAUCCCCCAUAGUCUCUUAGAGUGGCAUCAUUUUAGGAGUAAAGGUUACGGUAUAAGAUGAGUAUGCGUUCUAUUAGUUUGUUGGUGAGGUAACGGCUCACCAAGGCUACGAUAGAUAGGGGCCCUGAGAGGGGGAUCCCCCACACUGGUACUGAGACACGGACCAGACUCCUACGGGAGGCAGCAGUGAGGAAUAUUGGACAAUGGAGGCAACUCUGAUCCAGCCAUGCCGCGUGCAGGAAGACUGCCCUAUGGGUUGUAAACUGCUUUUAUAUAGGAAGAAACCUACUUACGUGUAAGUAGCUGACGGUACUAUAAGAAUAAGGAUCGGCUAACUCCGUGCCAGCAGCCGCGGUAAUACGGAGGAUCCAAGCGUUAUCCGGAAUCAUUGGGUUUAAAGGGUCCGUAGGUGGAUAAUUAAGUCAGAGGUGAAAUCUUGCAGCUCAACUGUAAAAUUGCCUUUGAUACUGGUUAUCUUGAGUUAUUAUGAAGUAGUUAGAAUAUGUAGUGUAGCGGUGAAAUGCAUAGAUAUUACAUAGAAUACCAUU